rnacentral:rRNA from 1 species
GCUGCACCUAGCGGUGCUGAUUAGAAUUAAACUCCCAAUGCUAUAACUUGUGCAUAGCAGUCAGAACAUGGGUGAUAAGGUCCAUGCUCGUGAGGGAAACAGCCCAGAUCGUCAGCUAAGGUCCCUAAGUGUAAACUAAGUGUGUAAGGAUGUGGAACUGCACAGACAGCUAGGAUGUUGGCUUAGAAGCAGCCAUCAUUUAAAGAGUGCGUAACAGCUCACUAGUCGAGUGAUUCUGCGCCGAAAAUGUACCGGGGCUUAAGUUUACCACCGAAGCUACGGAUUGUACGCAAGUACAGUGGUAGGGGAGCGUUCCAAGGGUGAUGAAGUCAGACCGUAAGGACUGGUGGAGCGCUUGGAAGUGAUUAUGCCGGCAUGAGUAACGUUUGGAAGUGAGAAUCUUCCAUGCCGUUUGACCAAGGUUUCCUGGGCAAGGUUCGUCCACCCAGGGUUAGUCAGGACCUAAGACGAGGCCGACAGGCGUAGUCGAUGGACAACAGGUUGAUAUUCCUGUACCAGUUAAUUAGUGAUGGAGUGACGGAGAAGGAUAGUAUAUCCCGGGUGCUGGUUGUCCCGGGCUAAGCACAAAGACGGCAACAUUGGCAAAUCCGUGUUGUAUUAACGUUGAAGUGUGAUGGGGAGUGAACGGUUCGCCUAGUAACGAAGUAUAUGACUCCACGCUUCCAAGAAAAGCUUCUAACAUUAAUAAUUAACUGCCUGUACCUAGAACGAACACACGUGGUCAAGGAGAAAAUCCUAAGGCAAGCGAGAUAACUGUAGCUAAGGAACUCUGCAAAAUAACUCCGUAACUUCGGAAGAAGGAGUGCUCAUCUUUGAUGAGCCGCAGUGAAGAGGGAGGGGCAACUGUUUAACAAAAACACAGCUCUCUGCUAAGUCGCAAGACGAUGUAUAGGGGGUGACACCUGCCCAGUGCCGGAAGGUUAAGAGGAGAAGUCAGCGCAAGCGAAGCUUUGAAUUGAAGCCCCGGUGAACGGCGGCCGUAACUAUAAC